rnacentral:rRNA from 1 species
GACGAACGCUGGCGGCGCGCCUAACACAUGCAAGUCGAACGAGCGAGAGAGAGCUUGCUUUCUCAAGCGAGUGGCGAACGGGUGAGUAACGCGUGAGGAACCUGCCUCAAAGAGGGGGACAACAGUUGGAAACGACUGCUAAUACCGCAUAAGCCCACAGGUCGGCCUCGACCAGAGGGAAAAGGAGCAAUCCGCUUUGAGAUGGCCUCGCGUCCGAUUAGCUAGUUGGUGAGGUAACGGCCCACCAAGGCAACGAUCGGUAGCCGGACUGAGAGGUUGAACGGCCACAUUGGGACUGAGACACGGCCCAGACUCCUACGGGAGGCAGCAGUGGGGAAUAUUGCACAAUGGGGGAAACCCUGAUGCAGCGACGCCGCGUGGAGGAAGAAGGUCUUCGGAUUGUAAACUCCUGUUGUUGAGGAAGAUAAUGACGGUACUCAACAAGGAAGUGACGGCUAACUACGUG